UAAUACCAGCACCCCGAGUGGUCGGGACGAUUAUUGGGCCUAAAGCAUCCGUAGCUUGUUCUGCAAGUCCUCCGUUAAAUCCACCUGCUCAACAGAUGGGCUGCGGGGGAUACUACAGGGCUAGGAGGCGGGAGAGGCAAACGGUACUCAGUGGGUAGGGGUAAAAUCCUCUGAUCCACUGAAGACCACCAGUGGCGAAGGCGGUUUGCCAGAACGCGCUCGACGGUGAGGGAUGAAAGCUGGGGAGCAAACCGGAUUAGAUACCCGGGUAGUCCCAGCUGUAAACGAUGCAGACUCGGUGAUGGGUUGGCUUUGAGCCAACCCAGUGCCGCAGGGAAGCCGUUAAGUCUGCCGCCUGGGGAGUACGGUCGCAAGACU
rnacentral:rRNA from 1 species